rnacentral:rRNA from 1 species
CCAGCAGCCGCGGUAAUUCCAGCUCCAAUAGCGUAUAUUAAAGUUGUUGCAGUUAAAAAGCUCGUAGUUGGAUUUCUGGUCUGAUGCCCUGGCCCGCGGCAAUUACGUCGUGUGUGCCGGCUGUGCGUCUGCCAUCCUUCUAGCAAACCUUCCUACCCUUCACUGGGCCGGGCUGGCGAGUUAGAUCUUUUACUUUGAAAAAAUUAGAGUGUUUAAAGCAGGCUUUUGCUAUGAAUACAUUAGCAUGGAAUAAUAAUCUAGGACUUCGGUUCUAUUUUGUUGGUUUCUAGUACUGAAGUAAUGAUUGAUAGGGAUAGUUGGGGGUGCUAGUAUUGAGCGGCCAGAGGUGAAAUUCUUGGAUUCGCUCAAGACUAACUUAUGCGAAAGCAUUCACCAAGGAUGUCUUCUUUAAUCAAGAACGAAAGU